AUUGAACGCUGGCGGCAGGCCUAACACAUGCAAGUCGAGCGGAUGAAGGGAGCUUGCUCCUGGAUUCAGCGGCGGACGGGUGAGUAAUGCCUAGGAAUCUGCCUGGUAGUGGGGGAUAACGUCCGGAAACGGGCGCUAAUACCGCAUACGUCCUGAGGGAGAAAGUGGGGGAUCUUCGGACCUCACGCUAUCAGAUGAGCCUAGGUCGGAUUAGCUAGUUGGUGGGGUAAAGGCCUACCAAGGCGACGAUCCGUAACUGGUCUGAGAGGAUGAUCAGUCACACUGGAACUGAGACACGGUCCAGACUCCUACGGGAGGCAGCAGUGGGGAAUAUUGGACAAUGGGCGAAAGCCUGAUCCAGCCAUGCCGCGUGUGUGAAGAGGGUCUUCGGAUUGUAAAGCACUUUAAGUUGGGAGGAAGGGCAGUAAGUUAAUACCUUGCUGUUUUGACAUUACCAACAGAAUAAGCACCGGCUAACUUCGUG
rnacentral:rRNA from 1 species